GUGAGGAAUAUUGGGCAAUGGGCGCAAGCCUGACCCAGCAACGCCGCGUGGAGGAUGAAGGCUCUUGGGUUGUAAACUCCUUUUACAGGGGAAGAGGAAGGACGGUACCCUGUGAAUAAGUCACGGCUAACUACGUGCCAGCAGCCGCGGUAAUACGUAGGUGACAAGCGUUAUCCGGAUUUACUGGGCGUAAAGCGCAUGCAGGCGGCCAGUCAAGUCUGACGUGAAAUCUCCUGGCUUAACUGGGAGGGGUCGUUGGAAACUGACGGGCUUGAGGCGACGAGAGGGGUGUGGAAUUCCCGGUGUAGUGGUGGAAUGCGUAGAUAUCGGGAGGAACACCAGUGGCGAAAGCGGCACCCUGGCGUUAGUCUGACGCUCAUGUGCGAAAGCGUGGGGAGCGAACGGGAUUAGAAACCCCUGUAGUCC
rnacentral:rRNA from 1 species